GAGUUUGAUCGUGGCUCAGGAUGAACGCUGGCGGCGUGCCUAAUACAUGCAAGUCGAGCGAACAGACGGGGAGCUUGCUCCCCUGACGUUAGCGGCGGACGGGUGAGUAACACGUGGGUAACCGUACCUAUAAGACUGGAAUAACUCCGGGAAACCGGGGCGUAAUGCCGGAUAACAUGUUGGACCGCAUGGUCCUACAGUGAAAGACGGUCUUGCCGUCACUUAUAGGUGGACCCGCGCCGUAUUAGCUAGUUGGUAAGGUAACGGCUUACCAAGGCAACGAUACGUAGCCGACCUGAGAGGGUGGAUCGGCCACACUGGAACUGAGACACGGUCCAGACUCCUACGGGAGGCAGCAGUAGGGAAUCAUCCGCAAUGGGCGAAAGCCUGACGGAGCAACGCCGCGUGAGUGAUGAAGGCCUUCGGUCGU
rnacentral:rRNA from 1 species